rnacentral:rRNA from 1 species
UACGUAGGCAGCGAGCGUUGUUCGGAAUUACUGGGCGUAAAGAGUGUGUAGGCGGUGCUCUAAGUUCGGUGUGAAAUCUCCUGGCUCAACUGGGAGGGUGCGCCGGAAACUGGAGUGCUUGAGCGUGGGAGAGGAAAGCGGAAUUCCUGGUGUAGCGGUGAAAUGCGCAGAUAUCAGGAGGAACACCAGUGGCGAAGGCGGCUUCCUGGACCGGUUCUGACACUGAGGAGCGAAAGCGUGGGGAGCGAUCCGG